GCCUGGCUGGCUCAGUUGAUUGGCAUGUGACUUUUGAUCUCCGGGUUGUGAGUUCAAAUCCCACGCUGGGUG
rnacentral:tRNA from 1 species